UACAGAGGUCCCAAGCGUUGUUCGGAAUUACUGGGCGUAAAGCGCACGUAGGCGGCUUUCUAAGUCGGGGGUGAAAUCCUGGAGCUCAACUCCAGAACUGCCUUCGAUACUGGAGAGCUUGAGUCCGGGAGAGGUGAGUGGAACUGCGAGUGUAGAGGUGAAAUUCGUAGAUAUUCGCAAGAACACCAGUGGCGAAGGCGGCUCACUGGCCCGGUACUGACGCUGAGGUGCGAAAGCGUGGGGAGCAAACAGG
rnacentral:rRNA from 1 species